CUCCUGGUGGUCUAGUUGGUUUAUGGCAUCGGACUGUAAUUGUAACACAAUCUAAAUCCGAGAGUCGGGCGUUCGAUUCGCCCCCGGGAGA
rfam:Sporothrix schenckii ATCC 58251 unplaced genomic scaffold supercont1.3, whole genome shotgun sequence.